UUUUUUGAAAUAUUUGAAAUAAUUUAAGCGUGAUAUUCCCCUAGCCUUUGAUAUGAAUUUCGACGAUAUGCAUCUGCCUCUCUUGAAUUUCAUAAGUGAGCAGAAACAAUUAACAUCAAUAGAAUUGUAUGGACCUGUUAUGGGAAACCUUGAUCGUUUAUUUGAAUCGGAACAUGUGUCAUCAAAUGUUGUGGAGUUAAGCAUUUUACAAUAUCAGUAUCGCAGAGAAUCAUCAUUGUACGGCAACGUGUGCAGCGUGCUCCGUUUUUUGGAACGUAGUCGAUCUCUAGAAAAACUUGUAAUAAAAGGAUACACUGAGUGGAAUCCACCGUAUCAAAGCCACCUAGAAUUCCCAGGACAUUUGGAUGCAAUUGCAUCACAUAAUAUUAAAUACAGAAUCAUCUCUGAUCAAGUAAUAACCUGCAAAUGCAGUUGGUGUACACAGCAAAAGUAUAUGCAUAAGAAAAAAUCUAUGGAGCUUACAGUUAAGAAAACAGCAGAAUCUAACUUUAUGAAAUAUAUUUGUACGUUCAGAGAUGAACGAAACGUAAAUACAGAUGGAAGCUAUUAUACAUCGAGCAAAAAUUUCACUGUACUCGAAUGCUCAAAAAGUAAAAAUUAACCUUAACUAAGUCAAUACAGCUAGUUUUUCCACAUUCUGUAAUUAAUGCGCUGAAUAAUUUAACUAAACAUAGGAUUAGAUUAUUACAAUAUUUCCGUAAAAAUAUUCAAAUAAAAACGAUUUUACAAGUUACUUGAUGUGAACCAUACUUAAGACGAAGCAAAUGACACAUUCGUGUUGGUUGACCUUAACCAAAACGAGAUAUUAUUAUACUUAACCUCAAUUCUAGUAAAAUUUUCUCCGUGUCAGACGUCUCAGCUGAAUAUGGAAGUUUUUAUAAAGGAAAAAAAAGAUUUUGUAUUUAAUUAAUAUAAAUUUUUAAUUGUAGUUAGGAAUAGUCGAUGUGCAUGCCCUUUUCAAAGGCAAAGGCUCUUUGAAUGUUCGUGGCGCGUCUAUUGUGAUUAGAACAAUCGCAAGUGAUGAAUUGGCUUACAUGGACUAUUCAUCCGAAGGUGCCACUGAAAUAACCUCAUCAGAUGCCCGAAACAUGUUGUUUGAGCCAAUCGUAAUCCCGUUCAAUGAAUGGAGGGAUGCUAAAAUAAAAACUACUAUGCAUAUUCAAACUAUUGACAUUCUAGCGGCUGGCGAAAUUUGCCAAGGAGACAGAUUUUCAUUCAGUGGAUACACGUCGCUCGAGCUAUUGAAAGAUUGGGUCACAACUGUUUUUAUUCAUUCAACAAUACUGUGUCUAUUCCGGUUAUACCGAAUGCUGUUGAUGACACCCUGAAACAGUUAAUUUUGAAGAUAUGUGGAUACAAAAAACCAUUAUAUCCGGCUGUGAUUGUGAAAGGACGUGGUCUGUUUAUUUGGGGCGAUGGUCUAGAACAAACUAUGCGCGCUUGUGAGGCCAUCGUCACCAUGCUUAGCACAAGUUGAAGGCAAGAGCAUCCCGUUGAACUGCCGUCCAUUGAAAUCAUUUGCUGAUACUCAAUCGAAACUUCCAUCGAGGAAAUUUUAAUAUCAUUUAAAAACAAACAAAAAUCCAUUCCAUCGCACAAACUGUUGAUUUCAAUUCUUAAACACAUAUCGAAUAAAGCUAAAACAGCUAAUUGUUACUAAAAA